UUAUAAAAAUGUUAUCAACAAGAAGUUAUUUAAAAUGUUUAUAAAAAAUUGUAUUAACAAAACAAAGAAAACAAUGAAUUGCGAAAGUUGAAUUCGUUAAUCUGAACCCCACAAAGUAUGAAAUGUAUGCUACUUCUGUGAAUUUUGACAUGAAUUAUCUUCAAGCGAUGUUUUGGUCACAAACAUAUGAAGAUGAAGGUAGUCGGCGAGGUGCUCCUUAAUAUAUUAUAUGCAUAAUUACCAAAUUUAACAUGUAUAUUACUAACCGUUAUUCAUAUGUCACCCGUCGAUCUCUCAUGACAUACCGACGUAACACGUACAUAUGGCAGCGAUUUUUUAUGUCAACUUAGCAAAUUAAGUUUAUCCUACAGAGUUACAAAAAAGCAAGACAGUCUGUAGAAAAGGUUCCUCAAGUGAACCGUGAACGAAUGUAUUAGAAAUAUUACCAACAAGUAAGAAACUUCCAACAGACGGUCGAAUCAGCUAUGACGGACUCUGGAAUUAGUCAUAUCAUCUCAGAAUAACAUUACAUGUAUAUUAUUAGUACAUCUAGAAAUUUACCUGUACAGUGUUAGCAUUAAGUGUUGUUAUUUAAUUGUUAAAACGGUGCAUUGUAGAGGUCGUAUUUUUUGAACUGGUUCUUUAAAAGUUUACGAUUUAGAAAUUUUUAGAUCUUUAGACACAUAUCGAUUUUUGGAUUUGUCCAAUUUUGAAUUUGUAUAUUUUGAAGAAAUUAAUAUAUUAGGAAUGCUAAUUUCAGGAAGAAAAAGCUUUUAUAUGAAUUAUAUCUCGUUGAAAUUUAAUUCAAUUCUUAUUGAAUUUUAAUGAAGUUAUUAAUGAAAAAUUUUACCUUUAAUCAGUUUUCUCUGUCUCAUCAUCUUUCAGUGAGAAGUUUUCUUUAUAUUAUUUACUAUUUACUUUCCCCCUUUUUGAGAAAUACGACCUAUAUUUUACACUAAAUUGCAGUCGUUGAAAACCGAUCUGCAUGGGAUUUCUAUUUCCGUUGGACCGCACGGUUUACAUCGUACCGAUUAUUCGUCAACACUUGAUGAUGGAAUGUAAAUUUCGUCAGGUCGGCCGGAAGUAAACGAAACUGGGCAUUUAUACAAAUUCUGUAAUAGACUGUCGAUUUUAUAUUUUUUUAACUCGCGUACGAGACUGUAGAAUCAUGGUAUUUAUCUCUCAUUGAUUGCGGUGGCAAAAUUUCGACACGUCACCACUAAAUUAUGAGAAAUCGGUCGUCGUUAAUGGAUGAGAAUGGAUGUUUGCGUGUAAAAUAGUUUUUAGGGUUACAAAAUACGCACAAGAGAGGCUUUGAUCAGUUAUCGGUGGAAGAAAAACAAUUUUUCGAAAAUUAUAAUUAGCGUUAGAUGUUGCGUUUUCCGUUCACGAUGAUGCGGACUGUAGAUUAUAUUGUAAGUACGAGUGAAACCUGCGUGCCUUGUACGCCAUAAAGCGCGUCCAUUAUUUAUUAAUCGACGAAUUGUAAUAAGCUUUUUAUAUAUCGCGGGUUACAUUCAAUAUAAACACUUUCUGUGAGAUCUGUAAUAAAUAAUCGAUCUUUUAAUGCUUAUGAAUAUACUGCAAUUAAAUAUGUACAUUAUAUGGAUCAAAAUGGUGUCACUAAUUGCUCACAUUUACGUAAAAGUUACAUUUCGUUUUAGGUUGCGAUUAUAUUAAAGUCUGCUAAUAUUUGCAGCUUCCGAUAUUAUGAUAUGAUUUUGUCAUGUAUUUUAUAUACUAUACUUUUUAAAAUAUUGCGGCGUAAUCAUCGUGACGCGAACAACGAUUUUACGAUUAACGCUAUUGAGUGGACCGUUAUUGAGUGGAUGCGACCGUGUUAUUCAUAAAUACAAAUUUCCAUCGAUCCGGACCCCUAAAUUUAAUUAUUACCUACUCGAGAGGUAGAGGCAUAGUCAUAAAAAGAGGCUCGUCGUACAAAUAUUUUGUUUAAAACCUGAUCGAUCUUGUUUAUUAGUCUCAUUCUGCUGUAUAUAUAAUUGUCUGUUACAGUUGAUUAUAUUAUUGAUGUAUAUUAAUAAACGGGGAAGAAAUACGAGA